rnacentral:rRNA from 1 species
CAAGACUCCUACGGGAGGCAGCAGUGAGGAAUAUUGGUCAAUGGCCGCAGGGCUGAACCAGCCAAGUCGCGUGAGGGAUGACGGUCCUAUGGAUUGUAAACCUCUUUUGUCAGGGAGCAAAGGGCGCCACGUGUGGCGUUUUGCGAGUACCUGAAGAAAAAGCAUCGGCUAACUCCGUGCCAGCAGCCGCGGUAAUACGGAGGAUGCGAGCGUUAUCCGGAUUUAUUGGGUUUUAAGGGUGCGUAGGCGGAAUAUCAAGUCAGCGGUAAAAAUUCGGGGCUCAACCCCGUCGUGCCGUUGAAACUGAUGUUCUUGAGUGGGCGAGAAGUAUGCGGAAUGCGUGGUGUAGCGGUGAAAUGCAUAGAUAUCACGCAGAACUCCGAUUGCGAAGGCAGCAUACCGGCGCCCAACUGACGCUGAAGCACGAAGGCGUGGGUAUCGAACAGGAUUAGAUACCCCGGUAGU